rnacentral:rRNA from 1 species
CGUAGCACGCAAGAAGCGGUGAUUUGCCACGCCGCGGGCCACAAGGAGCAAUCCCGCCCCUCCAUCUCGCCAUCCGACGGCCACGGAUGCGCGCAGGGCAGGCGGCCGCAAAAAAGGCCGAUCCCGUCGCUAGCCGACCACGAGCGGAGCCCGAGGCGACGCCCCGACGACUCCCCCCAUCAAAAGGGGGGCCGGGCGAGGCGAGCGAGCAGCAACUCCAACAAGCUACGCAGCACACAACCCUCUCCACCCCCAGCAAUCCAUCCAUCCACCCCACCCCCACCCCCCUUUCCCCUCCCCUCCCCGGCGGAUUCCCUCCCCNNNNNNNNNNNNGCAAACGCUUCAUCAGGAGCUGGGAUCCAUGAUGACUGCAAGCUGAGGUUCGUGGAGCUCAAGUCCAAGAGGAUGCACCGCUUCAUAACCUACAGGCUGGAGAACCAGAAGGAGGUCAUUGUGGACCAAACUGGGGAGCGUGAGGCAACCUAUGAGGACUUCACCAAGACCCUCCCUGAGAACGACUGCCGAUUCGCAGUGUUUGACUUCGACUUCACCACCCCGGAGGAUGUGCCAAAGAGCAGGAUCUUCUAUAUCUUCUGGUCCCCCGACACGGCAAAGGUGAGGAGCAAGAUGACGUACGCGAGCACCAACGAGAAGUUCAAGAGGACCCUGGACGGCAUCCAGAUCGAGAUGCAGGCCACCGACCCCAGCGAAAUGAGCCUCGACGUGAUCAAGGAGCGCGCGCACUAAGGCAGAUCAUCCAAUGCCCUCGCAAUAUGGAUUUAUGUCAAAUAUAGAUUUGGCGGUGUGACUCUUGAAACUUUCUUGAUGAUUUGUGGCUUUGUUACCGUGUCGAAAGGCCCUCCUCCCGUGGCCCGUGUGACCACGGAGGGCUUGCUCUAUCAUGUAAUCUGUUCUUUUUCUUGUGCCCAUUGAUAUGCCGGGCCUUAUGCUGCUGCACUGCACUGUUCUUCCAAGUUACGGUUAUAAAUAAUUAAAUGUUCUGUUUGGAUUCGUCAGAAGGCUCGUGUGUAAUUCGGCAUGGCAGUCUAUCUGCAUAUCUGUUGGAUAUGAUCUCGAGCGUGUCUUUUUGUCGGAUGAAAUUUCUGUUGUGUGUUAGCUCUGUUGCUGUGCUCUACCC